rnacentral:rRNA from 1 species
UACGCGAGCUGGGUUCAGAACGUCGUGAGACAGUUCGGUCCCUACCUGCCGUGGGCGUUGGAUGAUUGAAGGGAGUUGCUCCUAGUACGAGAGGACCGGAGUGAACGAACCUCUGGUGUUCGGGUUGUCACGCCAGUGGCACUGCCCGGUAGCUAAGUUCGGAAUCGAUAACCGCUGAAAGCAUCUAAGCGGGAAGCGAGCCCUGAGAUGAGUCAUCCCUGACCCCUUGAGGGUCCUAAAGGGCCGUUGGAGACCACAACGUUGAUAGGUGGGGUGUGUAAGUGCAGCGAUGCAUUGAGCUAACCCAUACUAAUUACCCGUGAGGCUUAACCAUACAACACCCAAGAAGUGUUCUG